ACGAACGCUGGCGGCAUGCCUAACACAUGCAAGUCGAACGAGAUCUUCGGGGCGAGUGGCGCACGGGUGCGUAACGCGUGGGAAUCUGCCCCUUGCUUCGGAAUAACAGGUAGAAAUGACUGCUAAUACCGGAUAAUGUCUUCGGACCAAAGAUUUAUCGGCAAGGGAUGAGCCCGCGUAGGAUUAGCUAGUUGGCGGGGUAAAGGCCCACCAAGGCGACGAUCCUUAGCUGGUCUGAGAGGAUGAUCAGCCACACUGGGACUGAGACACGGCCCAGACUCCUACGGGAGGCAGCAGUGGGGAAUAUUGGACAAUGGGCGAAAGCCUGAUCCAGCAAUGCCGCGUGAGUGAUGAAGGCCUUAGGGUUGUAAAGCUCUUUUACCAGGGAUGAUAAUGACAGUACCUGGAGAAUAAGCUCCGGCUAACUCCGU
rnacentral:rRNA from 1 species